AUACGUAGGGUGCAAGCGUUAAUCGGAAUUACUGGGCGUAAAGCGUGCGCAGGCGGUUUUGUAAGACAGUGGUGAAAUACCCGGGGUCAACCUGGGGACUGCCAUUUUGACUGCAAGGACGGAGGGCGGCAGAGGGGGGAGGAAUUCCGCGCGGAGUAGUGCAAUGCGUAGAUAUGCGGAGGAACACCGAUGGCGAAGGCAAUCCCCUGGGCCUGUACUGACGCUCAUGCACGAAAGCGUGGGGAGCAAACAGGAUUAGAUACCCUGGUAGUCCACGCCCUAAACGAUGUCAACUGGUUGUUGGGUCUUCAUUGACUCAGUAACGAAGCUGACGCGUGAAGUUGACCGCCUGGGGAGUACGGCCGCAAGGUUGAAACUCAAAUGAAUUGACGGG
rnacentral:rRNA from 1 species